rnacentral:lncRNA from 1 species
UCAAACUAUGACACAGAGCUGUUUGCACCGCUGCUGCACGCCAUCCACCAGGGGCCAAAGGUGAGGUCGUACAGCAGCAGGAUGGGAACAGCGGAUGAGCACUUUAUCAGUCUGCAUCGCUGAUGGAGUCCAUCCAGGCAUGUCUGGAGCAGAGGGAGUAACAGCCAAUCAGCUGUCAGACCUGUUGGAUAGGUCAUGACCUCACAGGGACAGGCAGUGACCUCAGAGCAGAGCCUCGUGGCCUGGUCUCUGCUCAGGGACCUGGGUUUCCCUCUGGACCUGGUGGACCUGAUGCUGGAAGAGAGAGGAGUCCAGAUGGACUGCCAGGAGCUGGAUCGCCUGAUCGCAGAGAACCCGAGG